CCUACGGGAGGCAGCAGUGAGGAAUAUUGGUCAAUGGGCGUAAGCCUGAACCAGCCAAGUCGCGUGAGGGAUGAAGGUUCUAUGGAUCGUAAACCUCUUUUGUCGGGGAGCAAAAGCCGGACGUUUCCGGCUGUUAGAGUACCCGAAGAAAAAGCAUCGGCUAACCCCGUGCCAGCAGCCGCGGUAAUACGGAGGAUGCGAGCGUUAUCCGGAUUUAUUGGGUUUAAAGGGUGCGCAGGCGGAUUUUUAAGUCAGCGGUCAAAUCGUGGGGCUCAACCCCAUCCAGCCGUUGAAACUGGGGAUCUAGAGUGUGCGAGAGGUAGGCGGAAUGCGUGGUGUAGCGGUGAAAUGCAUAGAUAUCACGCAGAACCCCGAUUGCGAAGGCAGCAUACCGGUGCACAACUGACGCUCAGGCACGAAAGCGUGGGUAUCGAACAGGAUUAGAUACCCCUGUAGUC
rnacentral:rRNA from 1 species